CCCUUAGAUGUUCUGGGCUGCACGCGUGCUAAACUGAUUAUUUCAACAAGUGUUUUAACUGGAGAGUUUGCGUAAUCCUGAAAUGCUAUCGUGAUGGGAGUAGAGUAUUGUAUUUGUUAAUCUUUAACGAGGAAUUCCUAGUAAGUGUAGGUUUAUAAGUUGUUCUGAUUACGUCCCUGCCCUUUGUACACACCGCCCGUCGCUCCUACCGAUUGAUUGAUCCGGUGAAUUACAUAGAAUUUUGCGUUUUACAUGACGGAAGAUGAAGUGUUUUAAACCUUAUCAUUUAGAGGAAGGAGAAGUCGUAACA
rnacentral:rRNA from 1 species